GGGACAUUGCUGCACACAGGCAAGCUGCAUAGGGGCCAGGGCGGAAUCCGUAUUGCUGUAGAAGAACCCUCCCGCUCUUCCAGGAGCUUGUCUGCACCACAAAGA